AAAGUGUAUAAAGUGUGUUAAAAGUGAGUAGUAUUUUAAGUAAUUUGAGGUAAUUCUUAAUUAUGUAGAUAAUUGAUUAACUGACGGGAUAAUUAUAAUUAAGUAGAUAAAGAUCCUUUUUGGGGAUGCUACUUGGCAUCAAUCUAAGCCAAAAUGGCACUAAUAGGCUUGAUGAGUCAUAAGGCAUAAAAUGACUUGUUUACACGUACAAAGUUUUGGAUAAACAAGUACCAAUUCAUGGACUGAAAAACUAGUCUGAGCCAUUUUGGUCUCUUUACUGAUAAGUAACGUGAGGUUUAUAAAAAUCUUCAUCAAUUAAUAAGAAUAGGAAUAGAAACGUUAUCCAAGAGUUUCUUAUCCAAAUUACAUUAGAAACGUCAUUUUGGGGAUGGAAAGGUUUCGGCCAAGAUUUUCUUUGAGCAGUGUGAUUGCGUUGAGCUUUUUAUAUGACUUGUUCCAUGUUUCGGCAAUUAACGUGUGUUAGAGGGAUUAUCAAGAGAAUCGACUCAGCUAUGUUAAGGGACGCCGCGUUCAUGCUCGAAGGUUCCGAUAGACAGGUCGAGUCCUUCAAGUAGGCCAUCAGAUAAGCGAAAGAUGUUGGUGCGCUCCAUUUGCUCCGGAGUUGCUUAUUUUGUCAGUAUGAUAUAGACGUGUAUUGUUUGAUAUGGCGGGGCCCUGCCCCGACGUUUGUGAUAAGUAUGUACUCUUAGAGGCUUGUAGAUAGAUAUAAUGAAUACGAACACAUGUAUGGCCUUGCCGGCCUAUGUUUUGAGUUUACAAAUGAUCAUGUUGGCCUUAUAGGCCCGUA